rnacentral:lncRNA from 1 species
CAUUUCCUUAUCCGAAUCCAAUAAGAAAAAUUACCAUAUUUUGGUGUUAACAACUUUAAAAUUGCCUCUAUUUAAGCUAGGCAAGUUCAUCGCCUAGGCGUGCUACCUAGGAGGAUGAAAUGAGCUAGUUGGUAAAUUGCUAUAUUUCGCAGCAGAAAAGUUCUCCCCAUAGGAAGACGAUAGGAAUGCAUCGCAUCACGAUAUGUUUCAUAGGGUAACAGUUUCUCUCCACAGAUGUGCUUCUACUUGGACCACAUGCCGUAGUUGAACAUCCCAUAGCCUAAAGUACACUGGCUUGAUCCAAUUGGACAGAUGACAACUUCAUUUGGUUUAGUGUUUUCAGGCAUAAGAGAAGCCAAGCAAUUGCUUAAGAUCAGAGAAACCAACCGAGUGAACAAAAGAUAGUCCAUUGUGAUUGUUACUAUGUUUCAGUAUAUUGAUUCGUUUUGAUAGGUUAUAGGAGCUUUGGGGAUUUGGUGAGCUUUUAUUAGCUACUUGAAGACUCUGGUACCCUUUCACCAUGUUGUAAUUCUACCAAGGAUGCCUUAUCACCAUCCGUGUCGAAGAGUUAGAUCCUGUUUUGACGUGCAUCUUUGUCUUUAUGCUCCUGCGUAUAGUGACUUAGGG